CUUGGUCAUUUAGAGGAAGUAAAAGUCGUAACAAGGUUUCCGUAGGUGAACCUGCGGAAGGAUCAUUAAUGAUUUUUUAAGCAAUCCGAGCGAGAUAAAGCGAGGAUUGCGAAAUAUUUAAAACCCCACUCUUUUUAACUUUAUAUAAUAAUAAAUCAUGAUACAUGAAUUUAAAAAAAAGAUCACUUUCAACAACGGAUCUCUUGGCUCUCGCAUCGAUGAAGAACGCAGCGAAAUGCGAUAAGUAGUGUGAAUUGCAGAAAUUGUGAAUCAUCGAAUCUUUGAACGCAAAUUGCACUCUCUGGUAUUCCGGGGAGUAUGCCUGUUUGAGGGUCGUUAGAACAAAAAUCGAAGCGUCGCUCUUUACGAAAUUAUUAUAUUUUGUUUGGGUGAUUGCGUCGGAAUUGAGCCUUCUUUCAUAUGUUAAUUCAUGUCAAAGUGGCUUAAAAUUCAUCAAUCUGGUACGAUUUAAAGCGUAUUUAAGAUCAACCUUGAUUAAGAACGCGCGAUGACGUACCAUCUCAUGUAGUACGUUCGACCUGCUUGUCAGGCUCAUUCGUAUACGACAUUCAACUUUUGACCUCAAAUCAGGUAAGAAUACCCGCUGAACUUAAGCAUAUCAAUAAGCGGAGGAAAAGAAAAUAGCAAUGAUUCCCUCAGUAACGGCGAGCGAAGAGGGAUAAGCUCAAAUUUUAAAUCUGUUGGGUUUCACCUAACAGAGUUGUAUUUUGAAGAAACGUUUUCUGCGUCCAGGAUUAGCCUAAAUCCUUUGGGAUAAGGUAUCAUGGAGGGUGAGAAUCCCGUUCAUGGUUAAUCUUAAGGAUGCUCUACGAUACGUUCUCCAAGAGUCGAGUUGUUUGGGAAU
rnacentral:sRNA from 1 species